UGCAAGUCGAACGGCACACAGAGGACUUGCUCCUUGGGUGGCGAGUGGCGGACGGGUGAGGAAUACAUCGGAAUCUACUUUUUCGUGGGGGAUAACGUAGGGAAACUUACGCUAAUACCGCAUACGACCUACGGGUGAAAGCAGGGGACCUUCGGGCCUUGCGCGAUUGAAUGAGCCGAUGUCGGAUUAUCUAGUUGGCGGGGUAAAGGCCCACCAAGGCGACGAUCCGUAGCUGGUCUGAGAGGAUGAUCACCCACACUGGAACUGAGACACGGUCCAGACUCCUACGGGAGGCAGCAGUGGGGAAUAUUGGACAAUGGGCGCAAGCCUGAUCCAGCCAUACCGCGUGGGUGAAGAAGGCCUUCGGGUUGUAAAGCCCUUUUGUUGGGAAAGAAAUCCAGCUGGCUAAUACCCGGUUGGGAUGACGGUACCCAAAGAAUAAGCACCGGCUAACUUCGUGCCAGCAGCCGCGGUAAUACGAAGGGUGCAAGCGUUACUCGGAAUUACUGGGCGUAAAGCGUGCGUAGGUGGUCGUUUAAGUCCGUUGUGAAAGCCCUGGGCUCAACCUGGGAACUGCAGUGGAUACUGGGCGACUAGAGUGUGGUAAGGGUAGCGGAAUUCCUGGUGUAGCAGUGAAAUGCGUAGAGAUCAGGAGGAACAUCCAUGGCGAAGGCAGCUACCUGGACCAACACUGACACUGAGGCACGAAAGCGUGGGGAGCAAACAGGAUUAGAUACCCCUGGUAGUCCACGCCCUAAACGAUGCGAACUGGAUGUUGGGUGCAAUUUGGCACGCAGUAUCGAAGCUAACGCGUUAAGUUCGCCGCCUGGGGAGUACGGUCGCAAGACUGAAACUCAAGGGAUUUGACGGGGCCCGCACAAGCGGUGGAGUAUGUGGUUUAUUCGAUGCAACGCGAGAACCUUACCUGGCCUUGACAUGUCGAGACUUUCCAGAAAUGGAAUGGGUGCCU
rnacentral:rRNA from 1 species